rnacentral:lncRNA from 1 species
CAGCUGGGGACUGCGGUGCUCUGGAGGCUCCUCCAGCUUUGCAAGCGCUGCGGGGCCGGGCGCAGGGUGCAGAUGAGAACGUGAUGGUUGUGGUCUGUGUUUGCCGUCAGCCAAACCCUGCUGGGAAGCAUCGCAGCUGCAGCUGAAGAGUGGUGAAAGGCAGGAGCUGGGGCAGAGGAGACCCGAGGAGAGCGGAGAAGGAAGACACCUGCAGCAGAAGAGGGUUCCCAUGGCGUGUGCCCGCCCGCCUUAGCCCCGGGAAGGCACAGCAAGAAGUCCUUCGGCUGCAAGUGCUCAGAGUGGACCUGACUUUACCUUCCUCUCUGUGCCUUUCUCUGCUCUCAGCCCUGG